UUCAAUGACGCCACUAGUUGCCGCCACUGUCUAUUUGUCGAGGUGUAGUCACAGCAUGGAAAGAAAUAACAUUGUGAAGCUAGUGGACAUGAAAGUGAGCGGUGAAGACUUGAUAAGUGAAGUAGAGCAGCACGCUGCCAUUUGGGACCCUGCCGUGGAGGAGUACGGGAACAGAGCUGACCGUAGGCUGGCCUGGAACGCCGUCAUACGGGCGUUUUUCCCAGACUUUGAUGACAUGCCUCCUGCUGAGAAAAAUGGAUUAACGGCUGUUAUUCAGAGGAGGUGGAAGGGAAUUCGCACAUGCUAUGCCAGAGAACUUCAAAGGCAAAAGCAAGAAAAAGAUUUACCACCGACAAAAAUAAGAAGACCAUAUAUUCACUUUGAGGCACUACAGUUCCUGGAAUCUGUAUCAAAGCAGGUCACAAACGAUACGAAGGGAGAAGCUACAAACACCUCUCUGGAUGACUCUUGUAAAAACCUCUUGAAAAUUGUACCCACCCAGAUCAUAAGCAGUACAGAUGAGUGCACUACUGCUAUUGCUAGUGUGGAUACUGAAGAUAAAGAUGUAGAAGAGAUAAGUUUAAAAGAUAAAGAAGCCAAGAAACAAAAGCAUAAACAGUCAUUCAAGAGAAAGAUAGCCAGUAAAGAGGAUGAUGAACUCAUUCACACUCUCAUGAAGAAAAUUAUACGAUGUGAAAAUGUGUCUAGUGAAAAUAAUGAAGAUAGAUUAUUCUUACUCUCCCUGACAUCUGAACUGCACAAGGUACCUGAAGACAGAAAGCUGAAACUAAAAGGAGAUAUUAUUACUCUUAUUUCUCAGGCUCAGCAAUCUGUUUCUCAUGGUAAACGUAAGCUGUUGUAACCUGUAAUAGUAUAUGGUGAAGAGCAAUGUGAAUUAUUUUUAUUCAGUGUGAUUCUUGCUCACCACAGGCUCAUAGCUCUAUGAAAUUAAGUAUUUAAGAAAGUGUUGGCUCAUCAAUGUUCUCCUUUGAGGUAUGCACUACAAAACAAGUUUAUGAACACAGUGUGAAUUUUGAACACAAAUCUCCCAAUAAGAUCAAACACUUAUUGGGUGUUAGAGAUAGAGAUGGAGAUGGGUUGUCUGUUAUGGCAACUCCUAACAAAAGUGGUCAAAAACUUUGCUCCUGGGUGAAGCUUCAAGAUGUACAACUUUAAGCUCAAAAAGAAACUUUUUGCACUCUGUGUGAACAGUUCCCAAGUGUGGCUCCUUUCUGCAUAUCACUACUCUGCCUUCAACCAUCUUUGAUGGAAAGUUUUACUUUUGUAUUUGAAUAAAAGUCAAGAAGUUGA